GCUUGACUGUAAUAUCGUAAACCUACAGGGCCAAAUCCGUCAACGAAUCUUCUAUAAAUACCCAACGAUUUCCUCUCACAAGAAUUAAUUAAUUUGGUUUCUGCCCCCACAGUUUUCUAGGUUUUCAACAAUCAAAUUUUGUCUGAUUUAUUAAUCUUGGAGGUUGAUUUUAAUUUAUUCGGAGAUAGUCAGAUCUAAACAAAUUUAUACAGUUUGACAUUAUCCAACUGAAUGUUCUAAUGGAGUCUAAAGGUGGGAAGAAGUCUAGUAGUAAAUCCUUACUCUACGAAGCACCCCUCGGCUACAGUAUCGAAGACGUUAGACCAAACGGUGGAAUCAAGAAGUUCAGAUCUGCUGCUUACUCCAACUGCGCGCGCAAACCAUCCUGACAGUCCUUAAGCUUCUCUCUGGCACGUGUCUCCGGGCACAAAAAAAAACCCAAAAAAAUUUCUUCUGUCAAUUAGUUCGUGUUAAACCCUCACUCCUUUUUUUUUGCUUUGCUCUUUUAGCUGUGAACAAUUUCCUUUAAAAGAUCGUUAGUUGCUGUGAACAUUUUUUUCAUCAUGGAAGUGGAAUUGCCAGUUUCUGCCAUAGGUUUUGAAGGUUAUGAGAAGAGGCUUGAAAUUUCAUUUUUUGAGCCUGGCCUUUUUGCUGAUCCUGAAGGAAAAGGACUUCGAUCACUGUCAAAAGCACAGUUGGAUGAGUUCCUAGGACCUGCCGAAUGCACCGUAGUUGAUUCUCUUUCUAAUGAGUGUGUUGACUCCUAUGUCCUCUCUGAGUCGAGCCUUUUCAUUUCUUCUUACAAGCUAAUCAUCAAGACUUGUGGUACCACAAAAUUGCUUCUUUCAAUUCCAGUCAUUCUGAAGUUGGCUGAUACCCUUUCACUCAAAGUACUAUCUGUGAAGUAUACCCGUGGGAGCUUCAUUUUCCCUGGGGCUCAAUCAUUUCCUCAUCGUCAUUUCUCUGAAGAAGUUUCCGUCCUUGAUAGUUACUUCGGAAAUCUUUGUUCAGGAAGCAAAGCUGUGAUUUUGGGCAGUGCCGACAAACCUCAGAAAUGGCAUGUUUACUCUGCCUCGGCUGAACCUACUCAGACUAAGAACCACCCUGUCUACACUCUUGAGAUGUGCAUGACUAAUUUGGAUAGGGACAAGGCUUCUGUCUUUUACAAGACUGAAACAAGCUCGGCAGCUAAAAUGACUAUUGAUUCCGGCAUAAGGAAGAUCCUCCCCAGCUCUGAUAUAUGCGAUUUCGAGUUUGAUCCUUGUGGUUAUUCCAUGAAUUCUAUUGAAGGAGCUGCGCUUUCUACUAUUCACGUUACACCGGAAGAUGGUUUUAGUUAUGCUAGCUUUGAAGCAGUUGGAUAUGACUUGAAGAACUCCUCGAGUCUCGGGCCGCUGGUUAAGAGGGUGCUGACAUGUUUCCAGCCUGAUAAUUUUUCUAUUGCUUUGCAUGCUGAUGUUGAUUGUGAGCUACUGGAGCGCAUAUGCUCUAUUGAUGUUAAGGACUACUCUCUUGCUGAGUGGAGCCCAAAAGAACUUGGUAAUGGUGGUUCUAUUGUCUACCAGAAGUUCGCUAGGAGUUCCUUCUGUGGGUCUCCCAAAUCCGUUCUGCAGGACUGCUGCUGGAAAGAGGAAGAGAAAGAAGAAAAGGAGAUGUGUUGAGGGUCGUUUAGUUCAAUUACCAGUGUUUUAUUACAGCGUUCAGUUGUCUUGCUCCUUGGUUCUUCAAAUAAUGGGCUUUAUGUCAGAAUUAGGUUGGCACUUUUCUGGCUGGAUUUGCAGGCUACCUUGUUUUACCUUUAAUUUUGUUUCGGUGCUGGCCAUUAGCUACUACAGACUUGCUGUGUAUAAAACAGAUGCGUAGUAGGCUAAAGCAACUACACAGCAAAGAAUUUUGGUAGCAUUACAAAGUUUUAGUCCAUUUGAAGUACGGAAAAGGGUCAUAUCUGCCGUCGUGCAAGUAAGUUAUAUUUGCCAUUCGCUAUACUUUUUCAAUAUAUUUGCCUUUGUACUAAAAAAAAUAGCCAAAUUUACCCAUACACCGUUAAAUCUUCAUGUUCCACCAUAAUUUUUCAACAUGGCGCUUGCGUGACAUAUUUUUUUUUUCUCAAAUUAAAUCUAGUCACUGUUUUAAUCAUUUUAACCCACCCACCCAAUUAAAUCCGACCCAUCAACCAAAUUAAGCCCAACUCCCUGCUUGGUAUGCUGUGAAUGGCUUUGAUACUUGGUUUCUUUGCAGUUCGUUUGUCCAUGUGAUUCGACAAAGUACAAGGGCAAAUAUGACCCUAUUCCGUUUGAAAUAUUUGUGGUACAGUAAUGAAGUAAUUCAAAUGGCUAAGAGAUCGCAAGCGGGUAAAAGGGGUAAUUACGAUAAAAAAUUCUAGGGAUACUGACUCACAUAUACAAUCCCCAAUCGAUAUUGACACAUCUUUAGACAACAAUAUAUUUAGCAACCGAGCCAACUUGGCAUCGUAUAGUCAUCCAGAUUGUAAAAAUUAGUCAUCUCUAGAUUUCAUGCUAAUUUUUAGGACCUUCACGCUUUGAUUGUUUAGUAUAGAAUGAAAUUGUUUGAUUCUUCAACAAAUAUGUAUGUAAAUGAAAGUGUGAACUGAUUCCUGAACAAAAUUGUUUGAUUCUCCAACUUUA